UACAGGGGGUGCAAACGUUGCUCGGAAUUAUUGGGCGUAAAGCGCGCGUAGGCGGCUACUUAAGUCGGAUGUGAAAGCCCUUGGCUCAACUGAGGAAGUGCACCCGAAACUGAGUGGCUUGAGUACUAAAGAGGGUCGCGGAAUUCCCGGUGUAGAGGUGAAAUUCGUAGAUAUCGGGAGGAACACCGGUGGCGAAGGCGGCGUCCUGGACCAACACUGACACUGAGGAGCGAAAGCCAGGGGAGCAAACGGG
rnacentral:rRNA from 1 species